GCGACAGGACCUAAACUAUAACACGUCACGGCGUCAGCUGCAACGUCACUACGCCGGAAGGAGGACGCUCCCGGACAGACUGUGAAACGUCACGGCGUCGGUGAACAUACUGUCUUCUGUCCUACGUCACGAUGGUUUGCUGGAGGCAGGAACCAGAAUAUGAGGCUGCUCUGAUCAACAUGUCAUCUUGAUGUGUUGUCAGGAGCCAGAAUCAGAAGAAUGAGACUUUUAUCUUAUACCAGCGGCCACUGAAAAGGACAAACCUGUGGUUAAAGGUCACCAGUUAGUUAGAAGCUUUAAACAACAUCUGAGCUGAUGCUUCAGAUCAGACCCAUGAUGGCGGCUCAACGUUUGGUUCCCUGCUCUUUCUUUUCUGGACUCGACGUCUGGUCCAAUAAUUAAAAGCCAACGAGCCCAGGGAGCUGGUGCAGGCCAGUCUGCAGCACCACCGAAGAAGAAACAGCACCAUGGUUCUACCAGGGUCACUGAGCUACAUGCUAACUCUGUUCACACCAACGGACUACUUUACCAACACCAAACCAGCCCACUUACCAAACUGGUUAACCCAGGAAAGGCUGGAACAGCUGCUGAUGUCUCUGCUGAUGAACUUGGUAAACUUCUCGGGUCAGAUGGAGGGACUUGCGGCGCUGGAAACACCAGGGCUUUAUUCUUCACCAGAGUGGACAGGACUGACCAGGAGAGGAGGUCAGAGAAGCACAGUUAAA